GGGGUCCACGUCAGCAUCCACCUAAGAAAAUCAAGCUCUGGCGUUGCAACACGUGUCAUGUCUGCACAAAACGCAACACUUCAUUUAUUCUGGAUUUAAUUGGGCUUUGAACAUUAGGCUUAUAUUCAUUGUGUUGUUGGGUUGAAAACUUACAAAAUUUGGCCCAAAGUCGUUUUCACCUUUGCUUUACUUUCGAGAAGCCGCCAUUCUUUCUAGGGUUUGUCCUGUUCUUCAAGCUCUGCCAACAAUGGAGGUUUGGAAACAUGGACUGAGACAAGUCUUUGCGAGUAAUCUAUGCGUCGAUUUCGUUUCAUGUCGUUUGCGAUUCAUCACCCCCGAGCCGUUACAGUAGCAUGAUUCAUCCCCAUUAAUGAGUUCUUAACUCUUUCGCCACACUACAAUCAUUCAAUGAUCCUUAUCUCUCUUCGAGGCGGUGAAUCUCCAUCUAUAAAAAGGCUUUGGCAUGAGAUUGAUCCGCUAAUUUUGGAGGCAGAUUUGUAUGGAAGUCGAUGGUCGAGGAUCUCGCUAGAAGAUAAUUUGGUGAAAGAGUUUAUAUGCCCUUUGCGCAGAUGUGUUUGACAAUUUCGAGCUGUGUUAUCACAUUGAUGAAGAGCAUCCUGUUGAGGCCAAGAACAUGUUAAAUCAACUAUCAUCAAACGCUUCUAUUAACAUGUCAUGUCUUUUUAGACAUGAUUUGUCUGAUUCUUAGGUUUGUUAAUGUCCUAGCUUUAGGUUUGUUCAUGUGUAACAGAAAAUUUGGUUUCCUUUUAUAAAGUUCUAAGCUUUGCUUGAAAUUGAAAAUUUGGUGAUGAUUAUAUUCGUUGCAUACCUCAUGUAUCUUCUUAUCAGAUGCGUCCUUUAACAGUCUGGUUCAAACUUAUUGCAACUGCAUCUGCAAAGGCAAGAGUAAGAGGACAAGGGUAUCCGAGGUUUGGUCAAGAGAAGCCUGAGAAGAACGGAAUUACAAGGCGUCACUCUUCCUCCUGGAUCAAAUGGGAAGCUGAGUUUAAUGUCUCCAAGAGCUCACAGACUUCUCAUAGCUUCAGCUAAGGGUUCAAUGAACAGUGACAAAUCUUUUUCGUCUUUCAAGGAUUACUGAUAAAUCGACCAAAUCUGAGUGAAAACGGUGAAUGUCUUUUGAGGGAAUAGAGAAAGCAAUCAUGGUCGUCUUACACGGUUGGACAAAGCUCUGAAACCUUUUUAAUCAUUUUAGCUGUUUUGUUUCUAUGUUUCCUGUGCGUUUUGCUUUUAUUUGGUGUGGUGAGUCUUUGACAUGUUCUCUUUAGGUUUACUUUUAGAUGCUUUGUCUUCUCAAACAAAAAGGUUUUUUAGUAUAUAGUUAUUAUAAAUGCUUCUCUUAAAUCAUUUACAGUUUGUUCAUGAA